rnacentral:tRNA from 1 species
UCCGGGGUCGUCUAACGGCAGGACUGCGGCCUUUGGAGCCGCCUAUCGGGGUUCGAAUCCCUGCCCCGGAGCCA